rnacentral:misc_RNA from 1 species
AGGGUAAUCACGCGCGCGCGCCUACACGUGCAGGCGCGUUUUCUCUGCUUGUACCCCAUUCGUCUCUCUUUUUUUUUUUCGUUACCCGCUGCUCUGAAGCACCGUUCGAUCUCCCGCGUGCCCUACUAUUGCGAGAGGCGAGUGCAUGUGCGCCGACCAUGAAGCGCCUUGACCGCAUUCGGGAGGCUCUGGAGCAGCUGAACCCGCAACGCGCGGAUAGCGCUUUGCCCACGUUUCACCCCCGCAUCAGCCUUCACAAGCUGAAGGAGCUGGUCGAGUGCCUUUUUUAUGUCUUCUUCCCAGAGUGCACGAACCCGCCGUCGGAGGUGACGCCGACGUUCGCCGAGGCAGACGCGCUGAUGGAGUGGGUGAUUGGGCACAUCGCAGACAUUCUCAUGACACAGAUCUACGUUGCCUUUGUUUUGCACGGCGACGCGCACGCGGUGGAGGACACAAAGCCUUUCAAGCCCUUGAACACAUCGCAACGCACGCAGCUGGAGUGGAAUGGACAGCGCUGCGCCACACUGUCGCUGCUCGCGAUGGAGUCGACAUGCACAAAAGGUGGAUGUGGUGUGGCUGCUGCGGCGGAGAAGGACGUUUCAAAGGCGGCGGCUGAAGAGCUGCGCUGCACGGGAAACCGCGCUCGCUUACCAUCUACGGAGGUCUCGUCCAAGUCGUCAACCCCUAAAGCAAACGCCAUGUGCGAGACUGCCGACAUCAACAGCGGCGCCAAUCAGGCCUUCCUCACCAACUGCAAGCGCAGGGCAGACGCGAUUGUGACAAAGUUUGUCGUGGAGCGACUUGCGCACGUGCGCUGGCUCCUCCACACAGACGUGGAGGCGAUCUUUGAGGGGGACGUUGCCGCCUCCUCGCCGAGUGAGGUGGUACUGUGCUACCCGGGACUUCGCUGCAUGGUACAUCAGCGCGUGGCACACCAGCUGCACCUGCUUGGAGUCCCGCAGAACUUAACCCGUAUGCUGACAGAGUUGGCGCAUUCAGAGACGGGGAUCGACAUCCACCCGAACACGGCCAUUGGGCAUCACUUCUUCAUUGACCACGGCACCGGCGUCGUCAUAGGAGCGACGGCGAUCAUCGGCAAUGGCGUCUCUAUCUACCAAGGUGUUACUCUCGGUGCGCGGAGUUUUCCGACGGACGAGAAAACAGGCAAGCGGACUCGAGACCUCCCACGACACCCCAUCAUCGAGGACGGCGUCACACUGUACGCAAACGCCGUAGUGCUGGGUCGCGUGACAAUUGGUGAGCGCAGCACCAUUGGCGGUAACUGCUGGGUGGUGCGCGAUGUGCCGCCCUUCUCAUCGAUAGUGCAGAGGUCCCACCACGUACUGCAACCACAUGAGCGCAUGUUUCUUGAGAGGGACGGCUCUGGCAUUUGAUGCGUGGAUGCGAGCACGCAAAAGAGGGAGGGCGCGGGCAGAAGUGGCUUGAAAUCCGUCGUGGGCGAGAGCAGUUGGCAUACAUGUGCUGAAUCUGUAGUCGUGGCGACGGUCAUAAAUGUUGUGAUGGUGGUGGUGGAAGGGAAGAGUCUGCAAGGCGAAAAAAAAAGCAGCUGGUCUUUCCUCCUCUUCAGGCUUCUUGCGUCUCUGCGGGUCCUGUUGCGGCUAACUUCUUAUGCUCGUGCUCACACAUACGUGCCCCUUGUUGCACGUUUUUAUUUCGCCCGCAACGUGCUCGGCGGCGCCCGCUCACUGCACAGUCAGGGUCGUAUCAUACGCUGCAUAUGGGCAUUACCUGUGUCUUCUGUUUCGCAUGCUUCGUUACGGGCUCUUCGAUGUCGUCAGCCCUCUCUCUUUUCGUUCUCUUGCUCGAUUACACUUGGACGCCUAGCUGGCGCUUCAUGUUCAGGUGCCAUGAAUAUCGUCACCGUAUCCGUCUACAGUUGUCGCUCUAUUUCUCCGUCUCUUUCUCUGCGUGCGCGCAUGUGUGCAUAUGCGUACAUGCAUAUAUGGUGGCUGUGAGCGCGUGUGUCGCUUCCAG